AUGAACGCCAUGAGCUGGAACUGUCGAGGGCUUGGGAACCCUGCGACAGUUCGAGAGCUUCGCAAGCUUGUGAAGCAAGAAGGCCCCACCCUGCUUUUUGUCAUGGAGACAAAGAUCAGGGGAAAACGUGUGGAAGAUUUGAAGUUUACAUUAGGAUUCUCCGGCUGUUAUGCCGUCGAUAGCGAUGGUUUGAGCGGAGGGAUCGGUCUGUUUUGGAAAAAAGAUGUUGAAGUUACUUUGGAGAAUUUCAGCAAGUCGCAUAUUGAUGUCAAGGUCAGCCAAAAUAACAAGACUUGGCGUCUCACUGGCUUCUAUGGAGAGCCAUGA
rnacentral:rRNA from 1 species